GACGAACGCUGGCGGCGUGCCUAAUACAUGCAAGUAGAACGCACAGUUUAUACCGUAGCUUGCUACACCAUAGACUGUGAGUUGCGAACGGGUGAGUAACGCGUAGGUAACCUGCCUGGUAGCGGGGGAUAACUAUUGGAAACGAUAGCUAAUACCGCAUAAUAUUGAUUAUUGCAUGAUAAUUAAUUGAAAGGUGCAAUUGCACCACUACCAGAUGGACCUGCGUUGUAUUAGCUAGUAGGUGAGGUAACGGCUCACCUAGGCGACGAUACAUAGCCGACCUGAGAGGGUGAUCGGCCACACUGGGACUGAGACACGGCCCAGACUCCUACGGGAGGCAGCAGUAGGGAAUCUUCGGCAAUGGACGAAAAUCUGACCGAGCAACGCCGCGUGAGUGAAGAAGGUUUUCGGAUCGUAAAGCUCUGUUGUAAGAGAAGAACGGGUGUGAGAGUGGAAAGUUCACACUGUGACGGUAUCUUACCAGAAAGGGACGGCUAACUACGUG
rnacentral:rRNA from 1 species